GAUGAACGCUGGCGGCGUGCCUAAUACAUGCAAGUCGAGCGGAAAGGCCCUUCGGGGUACUCGAGCGGCGGACGGCUGAGUAACGCGUAGGAACGUACCCCAAAGUGAGGGAUAACUGCUCGAAAGAGUAGCUAAUACCGCAUGUGCUCUUCGGAGUAAAGCUUCGGCGCUUUGGGAACGGCCUGCGUCCUAUUAGCUCGUUGGUGAGGUAAUUGCUCACCAAGGCGACGAUAGGUAGCUGGUCUGAGAGGAUGAUCAGCCAGACUGGGACUGAGACACGGCCCAGACGCCUACGGAAGGCAGCAGUAGGGAAUUUUCCACAAUGGGCGAAAGCCUGAUGGAGCAACGCCGCGUGCAGGAUGAAUGCCUUCGGGUUGUAAACUGCUUUUAUAGGUGAAGAAUAUGACGGUAACCUAUGAAUAAGGAUCGGCUAACUCCGUGCCAGCAGCCGCCGUAA
rnacentral:rRNA from 1 species